AUUUCAUAAUAAAACACCACCGUUCGACUCACUCGUUUAUUUCAAGGCGACUUUUUCAGAGUGGAAAGUUUGUUCAGUCUCUACGACGGCUGUAGAUGUCUGGCGAUAUCAAGAUAGCAGAUUUGAUUGGAACCCUUUGCACUAUUGUCGUCCACAUUCCUCGAACAAAUUUCACGCUUUGUUGGAGGAGAAAAUAAAAUGUUUGUAUUUGAACAUUUGUCUUUUACGUUAAGAUAACAAUUUAUUUGGCUGUAAUUAUUACGUUUUCUUUUUAUAUUUUUUAA